AGUCGCUUGUUUGUGUACCCAAGAACACCACGCAAACGCGAGUCUCUCCUCGUCUCAUGACAAAAGCACUUAGGAUUUCCUUCCCCUGCCACAUGACCAACAAUGCACCUUCUUUUGGAGAGAGCCUGUGGGUAAAUAGUCACAACUGCUGUAAUGUCUCCUGAACUAUAAAGUCCAUAUUUCUCAUCACCUGACAGGUAGCAUGACCCAAAUGCCCCAAAACAACUACAGAACUAUCAUUAAAGAUGCAAGCAUCUCUACGUUACUGUCCAGCCAGCUACUGAAAAGUUUAGGGGUCUGGUGGCUGGGCAGGCCUCAGAAGAUAAACUGACCUGCACUGAUGCUUCAUUCAAUAUAUGAUCCAGGACAAGCUUUGGAAAAUCACAGCAGCCAAGUUGCAACAAAUCCGAGGCAGCCAACUGUUCAAACCGUGUUCAAAUAAGGCAAACGCCCAGCUGUAGCCAAUCCAGCUGUUUCUAUGCCUCAUUUCCGUUUUCUGUCUAUAAAUGUUAUCCGACCAUGCGGCAGCCCUGAAGUCAUUCUAAGCCUAUUCUUGUUCUGGGGGCUGAUUCAAGAAUCGUUCUUUGCUCAGUUAAAUUCUGUUAAAUUUAGUUUGUCUAAAGUUUUUUUUUUUAUUUUUUAACACCUCCCAGGCUUAAAUUAUUUCUGCUCAUUAUUUGGCACUCCAUUCCAGCCUCUUCCAGCAAAACUGCCUGUGAUCAAGCAGUUGUAGAGAGGAAAUUCAUAUUGAAGCCCAAACAUGAUUAUAAGAUGCGAAAACAAAUAAUACUAGAUAUGGCUUUUUUUCCCCUCAUGAGAAAUAUAGUCGACAAAGUAUAGGCCUUGAAUUCAGGAAGGUUACUAUCCAUCUGACUUUAGGCAGGUCCUUCAUACAGAAAAUGGAAAUAACAGAGAUCUUUCAAAAGUUUGUUGAGGAUUAAAGAAAAUGAAGUACUUGAAACAUGUUUUACAGCACUCAAUAAAUGCUUAUUAUUACUAUUGUUUCCACCAAUACAACACUACCACUAUUCCUAUCAUUACCACAACCAAUUAAGUGUGGCACUGACCCAAAUUUCAGAGGAGCUAUGGAUGAUCCUGCAGAGACUGAGAAAUAUCCUAUUUGAAAUAAAGUUAGCCUCAGAUCCAGGUAAAUCACUUACAUAGUGAGAGCUUAAGAACAAUGGAGGAUCUAGUUUGGAGAAAUUACUCCCCUCUAACAACUCUCACGGAGUCCCCAACCCCUACUCCAAAAGAGAGAGAGAGAAAACAAAUCCAGGUGCCACUGCUGGAAGUUACACGCCCUCAGAUUCUGGCAAUAACAACGAAAGUAUUUGUAAUUUCCUGCCAUAAAGAAGACAAUGCAGAAAUUCCACAUCUCCUUAAGAGUAAUCUAAAAUCUGGAAGGCAUCGAAACCAUAGCUGCAUUUUGAUUACUGGCAUUCUGAGAAAUACACAGGGGCUGAGAGAUUGACAAGGUAGCAUUCAUUUCUCAGCGUUUUCUUAUUUAACUAGCAUAUGCUCUUGAACAUCUUUUUCCCCACACAAGUAAUUUAACCUUAAUAUGCUUUUGGAAAAUCUGAACUACGGAUUAAGCUGAAUGUUUGCUCCUUGCACCUCAAUGAACUUAUGGAGUCCACUUCAGGGAUCAAAAUUUACAGACACGUGGAAUGAGAUAUUUAACAAAUGUUUUGCAGUGAUUCCAAUAAGUAAACAUUAAUUUCUGAACUGUGCUUCACCCACAUCUACUAGAGAUAACUAUUAUCUAGCAAACAACAUUUUUGUACUCUCUUGAUGAGACAGAAGGAACACAAAGAUUAAUAUUGCCUCAAAGGAAGAACCACUAGAGCAAACAAUGGUUAUGAAGCAUACUCAGGACCAUAUAGCAAAUUAGUGUUUGAACUAAGAAUAAAGUUCAGAUUGACCUCGC